GCCCUCCAGGCUCCUUACCCAUCAGAUUUAAACACUGAUCUGAGUGGUUGUACAAGGAAGAAAAGUAAAACAUACUAGACUUGGAUUCUUUUGGGACAUACAAUUUCGUUUCAAGCAUAC
rnacentral:snoRNA from 1 species